rnacentral:rRNA from 1 species
AGUGAACGCUGGCGGUAGGUCUAACACAUGCCAGUCGAACGGCAGCACAGUAAGAGCUUGCUCUUACGGGUGGCGAGUGGCGGACGGGUGAGGAAUACAUCGGAAUCUACUUUUUCGUGGGGGAUAACGUAGGGAAACUUACGCUAAUACCGCAUACGACCUACGGGUGAAAGCAGGGGAUCUUCGGACCUUGCGCGAUUGAAUGAGCCGAUGUCGGAUUAGCUAGUUGGCGGGGUAAAGGCCCACCAAGGCGACGAUCCGCAGCUGGUCUGAGAGGAUGAUCAGCCACACUGGAACUGAGACACGGUCCAGACUCCUACGGGAGGCAGCAGUGGGGAAUAUUGGACAAUGGGCGCAAGCCUGAUCCAGCCAUACCGCGUGGGUGAAGAAGGCCUUCGGGUUGUAAAGCCCUUUUGUUGGGAAAGAAAAGCAGCAGGUUAAUACCCCGCUGUUCUGACGGUACCCAAAGAAUAAGCACCGGCUAACUUCGUG